GGUGGCUGUGGCAGGAGGCUGAGUCAGAGGCACUGUCAGGGCUGAGAGCAAGGGAACAGACCUGCCUCUAGUGCCCGGUGACUUGCAAGCCACAGGAGGGGAGCAGCCUGUGUCAUCAGCGAGCCUGUAAACACCCUCCAAGGACAGCAAGGCCCCUGCUUGUCUUGGAUCCGACCACAGGCCCAUCCCAGGGAUUUGGGGUCAGAGCGCUUAAUAAAUCAUCCUGCCCAGCACAUGCAAGCCUGGAGCCCUCCUCCUGGCUUUCUGAGAUCUGACCUCUGCCGACCUCUCCCACCCACCUCCCUCUUGCCAGGCCAGAGGCCGGUGAAUUUCUCGAACACACAAUUCUCUUCCUGCCUCUCCAGGACUGUGCACAGGCUGUUCCCUCCACCUGGAAUGUUCUCUCCCUUUCUCCAGGCUUCACCAAGAUAAUGCUUCCGGCUGGUUCAAAUUUCGGCUCAAAGAUCACCUCCUUCUCUGUUCUUCCAGCAAAGGCAGACGAGAAGGCUGGCACUGUGGCCUCCACCUUGGAUCAUGAAGAUGGCAGAGUUGUGACCAGGAAGGAGCCUGGGACACUGAGAGCUUUGUGGAGUCUUCAAACCAGCCCUGAACUGCCUACAUCUGGACCUCAUUCACACAAGAGAAAAAUAAACUCUUUUAUUUAUUGUUGA